ensembl:ncRNA lncRNA:CR44443 long non-coding RNA:CR44443
UCAAGAUUGUUGCUUUUUUCUCAGUGCUCAGGUGGCCGGGGAAAUAGGUGAAACACAGGCACAACUCACCUGACAGCAUCGCAUCUGUCUCAUCAAGGAGCAUAAAGAGACCACAAGACCGAAGAACCUUGUCUGCAAACUUGUCAAUGACUCCCAGCAACUAAAUAUUUUAUUAGGCAGUUGCGAGCACACAAAAAAGCGACGGAGGAUUGAAGAAGGACGAAGGACUCUGUGUGUGUGUGGUCGUGAUUGCGUGAAAUUUAGUAGCUCUCGGCGCAAUGUAGGGACAGACAAGUUGAUGCUGAUGAGCCUCAUGAUGUGCCCGAUGAUGAUGACGAUGUGGACGAGGCUGGAAGUGGAUGUGGAUGCGGAUGCCUGAUGAAGCUGCCUGAGCCAGCCUGUCAGGGGAAUUUGGGAUGUGGCGGCAAAGUUCCUUGACUCCACUGCCAGUUCCCUGCCCUCCCCCGAACUGUUUGCUCACAAUUGGCCGUACGUGUGCAACAUUUUUAAGUAGCUUGCUGCCUCGCAGUCUCUGUUUGUCUGAAGUCCAAGUGAAAUGCCAAGGCUGAAACAUAUGUUUUCAAUUUGGCUUGCAAAUGGC